rnacentral:rRNA from 1 species
CGAUCUUGGUGGCAACACCGGUGAAAACUCAGUGGCGAACGGGUGCGGAACACGUGAGCAACCUGCCCCAAAGACCGGGAUAACACCGGGAAACUGGUGCUAAUACCGGAUACCCCCACGAGCUCGCAUGGGCUUGUGAGGAAAGGGUUUCCGCUUUGGGAGGGGCUCGCGGCCUAUCAGCUUGUUGGUGAGGUAACGGCUCACCAAGGCGACGACGGGUAGCUGGUCUGAGAGGACGAUCAGCCACACUGGGACUGAGACACGGCCCAGACUCCUACGGGAGGCAGCAGUGGGGAAUCUUGCGCAAUGGGCGAAAGCCUGACGCAGCAACGCCGCGUGGGGGAUGAAGGCCUUCGGGUUGUAAACCCCUUUCAGUGGGAACGAAAUUGACGGUACCCACAGAAGAAGCCCCGGCCAACUACGUGCCAGCAGCCGCGGUGAUACGUAGGGGGCGAGCGUUGUCCGGAUUUAUUGGGCGUAAAGAGCUCGUAGGCGGCUUGGUAAGUCGGGUGUGAAACCUCCAGGCUCAACCUGGAGACGCCACUCGAUACUGCCCUGGCUAGAGUCCGGUAGGGGAUCACGGAAUUCCUGGUGUAGCGGUGAAAUGCGCAGAUAUCAG